GAUGAACGCUGGCGGCGUGCCUAAUACAUGCCAGUCGAGCGAACAGACGAGGAGCUUGCUCCUCUGACGUUAGCGGCGGACGGGUGAGUAACACGUGGAUAACCUACCUAUAAGACUGGGAUAACUUCGGGAAACCGGAGCUAAUACCGGAUAAUAUAUUGAACCGCAUGGUUCAAUAGUGAAAGACGGUUUUGCUGUCACUUAUAGAUGGAUCCGCGCCGCAUUAGCUAGUUGGUAAGGUAACGGCUUACCAAGGCGACGAUGCGUAGCCGACCUGAGAGGGUGAUCGGCCACACUGGAACUGAGACACGGUCCAGACUCCUACGGGAGGCAGCAGUAGGGAAUAUUCCGCAAUGGGCGAAAGCCUGACGGAGCAACGCCGCGUGAGUGAUGAAGGUCUUCGGAUCGUAAAACUCUGUUAUUAGGGAAGAACAAAUGUGGAAGUAACUAUGCACGUCUUGACGGUACCUAAUCAGAAAGCCACGGCUAACUACGUG
rnacentral:rRNA from 1 species